rnacentral:tRNA from 1 species
AAGGGUAUAGCUCAGUGGUAGAGUGCAUGCCUCACACGCAUGAAGUCCAGGGUUCAAGCUCCAGGACCUCCA